UACGUAGGUGGCAAGCGUUGUCCGGAUUUACUGGGCGUAAAGAGCGCGCAGGCGGUCGUUCAAGUCGCGUGUGAAAGCCCCCGGCUCAACUGGGGAGGGUCACGCGAUACUGAUCGACUCGAAGGCAGGAGAGGGUAGUGGAAUUCCCGGUGUAGUGGUGAAAUGCGUAGAUAUCGGGAGGAACACCUGUGGCGAAAGCGGCUCACUGGACCACAACUGACGCUGAUGCGCGAAAGCUAGGGGAGCAAACAGG
rnacentral:rRNA from 1 species